CAGCCGCGGUAAUACGUAGGUGGCGAGCGUUGUCCGGAUUUACUGGGUGUAAAGGGCGUGUAGGCGGGCAUACAAGUCAGAUGUGAAAGACCGGGGCUCAACCCCGGGGCUGCAUUUGAAACUGUAGAUCUAGAGUGCUGGAGAGGUAAGUGGAAUUCCUAGUGUAGCGGUGAAAUGCGUAGAUAUUAGGAGGAACACCAGUGGCGAAGGCGGCUUACUGGACAGUAACUGACGUUGAGGCUCGAAAGCGUGGGGAGCAAACAG
rnacentral:rRNA from 1 species